CCAAUGUGAUUAUGUGGGACCCCUACACUGGCGAAAGGCUGAGGGCACUCCACCACACGCAGGUCGAUCCUGCCAUGGACGACAGUGAUGUCCAUAUUAGCUCACUGCGAUCUGUGUGCUUCUCUCCGGAAGGCUUGUACCUUGCCACAGUGGCAGAUGACAGACUCCUCAGGAUCUGGGCCCUGGAACUGAAAACUCCAAUUGCAUUUGCUCCUAUGACCAAUGGUCUUUGCUGCACAUUUUUUCCACAUGGUGGAGUUAUUGCC